UACAGAGGAAACAAUGAGUUCAACACAACAGGACAAACAUGGAGCGAGAAGUCAGCACUCUCAGGAGGCUGACAAACCUCACAGAAGGAAGGGAGAAAAAAAAUACACCUGUGAUCAGUGUGGGACGGAUUUUACUAGCAAGAGUUCAUUAAAAAGACAUCAAGUCAUCCAUACUGGAGAGAAACCGUUCAGCUGUGACUUGUGUGGAAAGUUUUUACUUGGGCACAAAGCUUGAAAACACACAAACUCAUCCACAGUGGAGAGAAGCCGUACAGCUGUAAUCAGUGUGGCAGAGGUUUUACUGAAAGUACCCACUUAAAGAAGCAUCAAGUUACCCACUCUGGAAUUAAGGCAUACAGCUGUGACUAUUGUGGAAAAACUUUCAGUCAGCUAGGGAACAGAAAUACACACCUACGCAUUCACACUGGACAUGAUGUGUACUGCUGUGAUCAGUGUGGCAAACUGUUUGUAACAAACUCAGAUUUACAACAACACAUGUUUACCCACACUGAGGAGAGACCUCAUCAAUGUGACCUGUGUGAUAAGACUUUUAAAGCUCCACAGCACCUGAGAAAACACCAACAGAUCCACAGCAGAAAGAGACUCUACAAGUGCAGUUACUGUGAGAAGCAGAGCCACACAGAUGGAUCCAGUUCUCAGCCCUGUCAUCGCUGUGGUGGUGGGAAAGCGUUUCGCUGUGACCUUUGUGGGAAAACUUUCAGUCACCAUCAGAGCCUAAAAAGACAUCAGCGUAGACACGCUGGACACAAACUGAAGGACUGCAAAGAAUGUGGGAGAAGCUUCCCCACAACAAGUGAAUUAAAACAUCAUGAACUCAUCCACAGUGGGGUUAAAAAGCACCUCUGUGACCAGUGUGGGUCAUCCUUCAUCACUGCAGGUCAGCUUAAAGCGCAUAAACGAAUCCACACAGGAGAGAAACCAUACAAGUGCAGACACUGUGACAAAAGCUUCUCAUGUUCAGGUACUUGUAACCGUCAUGAAAGUUCACACACUGAACACACUGAAGGGAACUACAGCUGUGACCAGUGUGACAAGAGCUUCAGGAAUCUCACUUCAUACUCCCGACACAAACGAUCCCACGCUGCAAAGAAACUGUUUCACUGUUACCA